rnacentral:ncRNA from 1 species
GUGUAAGUAUGAAUAAAUUCAAAUUAUAAAACCUUAAAUGGAUGAUUAAAUUAGUUAUAGUUUGUUUGAUUGUAUCUACUACUCAGAUAACUUUAGUAAUUCUAGAGCUAAUACAUGCAACAAAACCCGACUUCUUGAAGGGAUGCAUUUAUUAGAUAAAAGACUGAUGCAGACUAUGCCCGUUGAUGUGAUGAUUCAUGGUAACUCAACAGACGACCAUCCUGCUAGUAACGCAUCAUUCAAAUUUCUAUCCUAUCAACUUUGGAUAGUAUAAAAAUAGCCUACCAUGGAGAAGCAGUAUGACAACGAAAAGCCAC